GCCGGACGCGGUGGCGCGCGCCUGUAGUCCCAGCUACUCGGGAGGCUGAGGUGGGAGGAUCGCUUGAGUCCAGGAGUUCUGGGCUGCAGUGCGCUAUGCCGAUCGGGUGUCCGCACUAAGUUCGGCAUCAAUAUGGUGACUUCCCGGGAGCGGGGGACCACCAGGUUGCCUAAGGAGGGGUGAACCGGCCCAGGUCGGAAACGGAGCAGGUCAAAACUCCCGUGCUGAUCAGUAGUGGGAUCGCGCCUGUGAAUAGCCACUGCACUCCAGCCUGGGCAAUAUAGUGAGACCCUGUCUCUA
rnacentral:SRP_RNA from 1 species